AUGCAAGUCGAGCGAUGAAGCUUCCUUCGGGAAGUGGAUUAGCGGCGGACGGGUGAGUAACACGUGGGUAACCUGCCUCAAAGUGGGGGAUAGCCUUCCGAAAGGAAGAUUAAUACCGCAUAAUAUAAGAGAAUCGCAUGAUUUUCUUAUCAAAGAUUUAUUGCUUUGAGAUGGACCCGCGGCGCAUUAGCUAGUUGGUAAGGUAACGGCUUACCAAGGCAACGAUGCGUAGC
rnacentral:rRNA from 1 species